AUUUCAGGCAGCGUAACUCCAGCCAGGAGUAAUUGCAUUCGACACAGCUCCUGACCUCAAACCUUUGCUGAUGGGACACAAAGCUGAGCUGCCCCUGCUCUGUCUGGUUUGGGAUUCAAACCAUGGAGAGGGACAGGAGCUGAGGACAUCUGAGCAUUAUCACUGAGCUCUGCAGAGACCAAGAAGUUCUCCAGCCCCCUCCUGGAGAUCUGAACCCUUGUGCUGCAGACCGGGUUUCAUCCAAAUCCUGUCCGGCGGUAGCUUGGAGAUGAGAUCAUUAUGUUGGUCCUCUGUCAAGAUUCCUGAACUGAUCUACGUGAAGAACUACGUCACCUUCAGGACAGGAUUUGGGGUAUUUUGUCCCCCUGUGCAGAACUGCUUUUCGGCUGGAGCAGAGAACCAGCCUCCUUAACCCAUGAGAAGUCAAAUCAGUGGUGGAAGAAAGAGAAGAAAUGAGACCAAUUUGACUGGCCAAAUUCUGAUGUUUUUCAGGGAGCAGUGAAAUAAAUCUGCUGUACUUGUGAAUCAAGGCCACAGAUGAUUGCACAGCACUGCCUGCGCGAGUUCGGUUUGCAUCUGCUUCACUGGCUGGAUGAGCCCACGGCAGAGAAACCUUGAAAAAUUUGCAGCAACAGGAGGUCUUGCCUAAAAAAUGUGGCCUAUGUUGUUUAUUAUUUCUAUGAUAAUGGACAGAAGAGAGCGAUGGAGAGCUGCCUAUCAGCAGCGGCAGCACCCCCGGGAGCCCUCACUGCUCCGUGUCCUGUGAGUGGUCUUGGACACUCUUCACUGCUACUAACUAACAAGGACUAAUUUGAGCAAAACAAGUGAAGUGAAGAUCAAAAAUCAGCUGAAUACCAACCAAUCCAUACAGAAGGGCUCCUGGUGCUUUUAGCCUGUGUUGGCCUGGGUGGCGGUUACAGACCAGGCCAAACAAAUUAAUCAGUCUCAGAACAAUGUCCCUGAACCAAGAGGCUUUCCAUGUCCCUUCCAUCCCGCGGGACAGGCACAUUCACCCCCAGCUGUGUCCCCGUCCGCGUGGCUCUCGUGCUGGCUGUGGGUGUCACUCUGUACCUGCGCUGGGAGUGAUGCAGCCUGUGGUGCUGAUUCUGCAUGCAGCCCACAAACAAGGCUCUGUGUAAACUAUCUUAUUUAUUUCACUAUCCUUCCCCCAUUCACCAGGCAAAUUAUCACAUGUGUAUUCAGUUUCAAUAAGAUAAAAAAUUGCCUAAUAAAAUAUUUACUCAGCCUUUG